UUUUCUUUGAUUUUUAUCAGGUGCGUGGUUGCCGGGUUUGAUAAAAAUUAACGAUUAAGUCUUUACUAGCGUAUCUUCUCGCCGUGUCAAAACCGAGGGGAUGCGCUUUUUU
rfam:Lactobacillus sharpeae JCM 1186 = DSM 20505 NODE_26, whole genome shotgun sequence.